rnacentral:rRNA from 1 species
ACAAGCGGUGGAGCAUGUGGUUAAUUCGAAGCAACGCGAAGAACCUUACCAGGCCUUGACAUGCAGAGAACUUUCCAGAGAUGGAUUGGUGCCUUCGGGAACUCUGACACAGGUGCUGCAUGGCUGUCGUCAGCUCGUGUCGUGAGAUGUUGGGUUAAGUCCCGUAACGAGCGCAACCCUUGUCCUUAGUUACCAGCACGUUAUGGUGGGCACUCUAAGGAGACUGCCGGUGACAAACCGGAGGAAGGUGGGAAUGACGUCAAGUCAUCAUGGCCCUUACGGCCUGGGCUACACACGUGCUACAAUGGUCGGUACAAAGGGUUGCCAAGCCGCGAGGUGGAGCUAAUCCCAUAAAACCGAUCGUAGUCCGGAUCGCAGUCUGCAACUCGACUGCGUGAAGUCGGAAUCGCUAGUAAUCGUGAAUCAGAAUGUCACGGUGAAUACGUUCCCGGGCCUU